UCCCUGAUUCAAUUUACACGAUGGAAAGUAAAACGCAAAUUUAUGCUCCAAGUAUAAUUGGUUAAACGCAACUCUUAACCUCAUCGUAUUAAGUAAAGGCAGGUCGCAAAAUAUGCGAAUUCAAAUAAAAAAUAUUGAUAGAAAACACUAUGGAGGUUAAUCCGCGAGACACUGUUUUCUCAAUCACUUGCGAUUUAAAAAGAAGCCCUUCCAGAGAUUCAUGAUUACGCGAAUUCUCUUUCUCAUCUUUGAAGAUCUCGACGUAACCCUGAAAAGGGGCCCUGCAGCAUCGUGUAACGAUAAUGACGAGUACGCCUCCUCACCCUCUUGCAAAGUGGCAUGACAUACACGUCACGGCGACGAGUACGGCGAUCGCUCGAAAAUUCAUGCCUUGAAAUAUUACUUCACCAGCGGACGCAUAAAUAUACGAGUUUAUCGAAAGUGCAGCCAAUAAAUACUGACAUUUCACUGACAUGCCGCAUAAUUGUGUCGCUCGGAAUCUAAAUAUGCCUUUAGCACGCUAUGGCAAUUACAGACACAGCCAUCUUAUUUAGUAUAACAAGGUAUUAUAUAACGCUAGAAAAAUUAAAAAAAAAAUUGUUAGGUUAACGGGAAGCUAAAUCAAAAUUAAUAAUUGACAGUAGUACACCGCACCAUUCUAUAUAAAUUAAAAUUUACAUCUAGAUUAGAAUCCUUUAUUAUACAAGUUUUAUUUGUUGCAAUGCUUACAGUAUACAAGUAAAUUGUGCUGCACAAGUCACAGUGUCGCUUACAUAAACGGAGAUGUAACAAUUUCAGCCACACGAACCUUAUCACAAUAAAAAUAUCAUACCUGUUUUCACAGCUCCUAACAUCACUGAUAAUUUUCACUGCUUCGCGAAAUAGAAGGGCGAGAGAUUAAUAAGUACAAUAAUAAGCUGUUAAUAACUCUGGUAAAAAAAGAAAUUACUGCUCUAUGAUCUAAAAAUUUUGAUUUUCCUGUUUAUUAAUUAUUGAAGGAGAAAGUACUGAAUACUAUUAACACUUGAUUUGAACAAGCCAAUCUAUCGGAACAAACUACCGCGAGAACCAAGAUUUCUGUAAGAAAUAAUAAAAUACGUGAAAAAAUGAUCCGCGUGUGUAAUGAAUGAGCUGUUUACACAACGAGGAAAAAACUGCCGAUAAAAUAAGAAUAGCAUUCUCUUUCGUUGAAGCACCAUGUAGAAGAUAUUUAUUCCCUGGCAUUCUCUCAUACUCGUAUGUACAAGAUACAAAAAAUAUAACAAAGAUACGUGAGAAAAUGAACUCCUGUUACGCGGAAAGAUCAAGUGCUACUGCGAUUACACCCGACAAGAACGGCAUAGAUAGAUAACAUUAUCCUAAAUUUAUUUCACAUUGCAUCUCUUUCAAAAUACUCCGAGAAUAUACAGUUAUAUAAUUAACACAAAAUAUGCUAAAACAACCGCCCGUUAUAGACCGAACAGAUUCGUUAAAACUUUGGUCGAGCUUAUUCCGGGACGGUGCUUCGCAUGUUCUUCUCACGCUACUCGUACAAAUCGUUCACAAGUCACAUAACACCAACAAGGACGUUAAAUCAUUGCAUGUAUCUUAUGAAAUUUCUACCUUCUUUUUUCUUCACAUGUCUUGUACAUGUAAAUGUUGCCUUUGUACCACACAUGAAUUUGUAACAAGAUAGAGCCUAUGUAACUUCGCGAGAAGCGCGCCAAUUAAUAAGUCGACGUUUGGAUUCAAUGCCCGCGUGAGGUCGCAAUAUAACAGGCGAUACCCCAGGAAACGAGAAUUUGCAAAUUCCGCUGUUUAAUUCUUAAGCAGAGAAGCACAGUAUGCUAAAUUACAUAAGGUAUCAAAAUAACA